ACUGGAAAACCAGCACCUGGGCCCUGUUUCAGAAAGCCGGUUUAGUGCAAACUCUGAGGUUCCCAGGCGUGAUUGGCUGUAUAGAUGGCACUCACAUUCCAAUCAUUGCCCCUUCAGUAAAUGAAGGAGACUAUGUGAACAGGAAGUCUUUCCACAGCAUUAAUGUACAGAUCAUAUGUGAUGCUGCCAACAUUAUCACAAAUGUGGAAGCCAAGUGGCCAGGCUCUGUUCAUGACUCACGAA